CUACAGUGAUGACUCUCUAGGACGAAAUGCAUCUGGACCCGUGUGUGAUCUUCAUAGCACUCGGAUGCUGACCAGAGAGGCUAUCAUUGCUGCCAAAGAGGGCCCAAAUGCCACACAUGGUACGGUGGAGCUGCGGGUUCUGUGGGUAUGUGAGCAGAGGCCAGGGCUGUGGACUGUUUCCAUUGUUUACUUUCAGUACAAGCAUCUCUGUAUAUAUCUUUAUUCCUUUUUUCUUAGAUAAAUAGUAGCAACUGUACACAUUUUUCUUUACCACAAUUUUUUUUUUCUCUGAACAAUAUAUCCUGGAAAUCACUGCAUAGUUAUAUGCAGAGAUUUUCUGCAUUCCUUUUUACAGGUAUUAUAGUACCCUGUUGUGUGGACAUUCUGGUACAUUUCAAGAGGGAACAACUGUACUAGGAAAGAUUCAAAGCAUGAGAAACCUGCAAGAAGAAGUCUUUUAUUUUAGCCAAGCUGUGGGUAACUUGAGGGUCGCAGAAUAGGCUGAGGAGUCAACAGAGAAGAUGGCUGAACAAUUACACAAGAUUGCUGCUGGCCCUAUUUAAUAAGCCUCAUUGUUCUCUAAGGUGAAGCGAAGCUGAAAGGAUUUGAGGAAAUAAAUAGGCUGUUUCCUUUCACCCAUUCUUCCUUGUUUUUCCUACUAUUAUUCUAGUAGGUUUUAAAGUAAAGCCUGGAGUAAGCCUGAGCGCAGCUGUCUCUUAUGGGAAAGUGCCCUGAUGGGUAUCAGGGAAAUCCUGCGUUUGACUUUGUGAGACUCUUCGCCUGAUGGUCAUUGUUUCUCCUCUGACUCCUAGAAUCAACUCACUGGGGCGAUGAGGGGUGCCCAUCAGAAGUCUCUGAAUUGAGUCAAAAAACAAUUUAACUCCAGAAUCCUAUUGUAUACUGUAUCCCCAAAUUCACCCUCCAAGCUAUUUCCCAU
rnacentral:lncRNA from 1 species